AGUGGGUACGGGCAGACUAGAGUGCGGUAGGGGAGAUUGGAAAUUCCUGGUGUAGCGGUGGAAUGCGCAGAUAUCAGGAGGAACACCGAUGGCGAAGGCAGAUCUCUGGGCCGUAACUGACGCUGAGGAGCGAAAGCGUGGGGAGCGAACAGGAUUAGAUACCCUGGUAGUCCACGCCGUAAACGUUGGGCGCUAGAUGUAGGGACCUUUCCACGGUUUCUGUGUCGUAGCUAACGCAUUAAGCGCCCCGCCUGGGGAGUACGGCCGCAAGGCUAAAACUCAAAGGAAUUGACGGGGGCCCGCACAAGCGGCGGAGCAUGCGGAUUAAUUCGAUGCAACGCGAAGAACCUUACCAAGGCUUGACAUACACCGGAAACGGCCAGAGAUGGUCGCCCCCUUGUGGUCGGUGUACAGGUGGUGCAUGGUUGUCGUCAGCUCGUGUCGUGAGAUGUUGGGUUAAGUCCCGCAACGAGCGCAACCCUCGUUCUAUGUUGCCAGCGCGUUAUGGCGGGGACUCAUAGGAGACUGCCGGGGUCAACUCGGAGGAAGGUGGGGAUGACGUCAAAUCAUCAUGCCCCUUAUGUCUUGGGCUUCACGCAUGCUACAAUGGCCGGUACAAAGGGCUGCGAUACCGUAAGGUGGAGCGAAUCCCAAAAAGCCGGUCUCAGUUCGGAUUGAGGUCUGCAACUCGACCUCAUGAAGUCGGAGUCGCUAGUAAUCGCAGAUCAGCAACGCUGCGGUGAAUACGUUCCCGGGCCUUGUACACACCGCCCGUCAAGUCAUGAAAGUCGGUAACACCCGAAGCCGGUGGCCUAACCCUUGUGGGAGAG
rnacentral:rRNA from 1 species